rnacentral:misc_RNA from 1 species
AACAUCGCGCACCUGCGGGAACCUGCGGAAGGAUCAUUACCGAGUUUACAACUCCCAAACCCCUGUGAACAUACCACUUGUUGCCUCGGCGGAUCAGCCCGCUCCCGGUAAAACGGGACGGCCCGCCAGAGGACCCCUAAACUCUGUUUCUAUAUGUAACUCCUGAGUAAAACCAUAAAUAAAUCAAAACUUUCAGCAACGGAUCU